CAUAAGCGCACACUGUCGCAUGACAGAGUGUGAAAAUUUCCGGAGGUAUACGAUGGACCCGCGUCUGAUUAGCCAGUUGGCAGGGUAACGGCCUACCAAAGCAACGAUCAGUAGCCGGCCUGGGAGGGUGGACGGCCACAUUGGGACUGAGACACGGCCCAAACUCCUGCGGGAGGCAGCAGUGGGGGAUAUUGCACAAUGGGGGAAACCCUGAUGCAGCGACGCCGCGUGAGUGAAG
rnacentral:rRNA from 1 species